rnacentral:rRNA from 1 species
CCUACGGGCGGCUGCAGUGGGGAAUAUUGGACAAUGGUGGCAACCCUGAUCCAGCCAUGCCGCGUGUGUGAAGAAGGCCCUCGGGUUGUAAAGCACUUUCAGUGAGGAAGAACGCCUGGUGGUUAAUACCCAUCAGGAAAGACAUCACUCACAGAAGAAGCACCGGCUAACUCCGUGCCAGCAGCCGCGGUAAUACGGAGGGUGCGAGCGUUAAUCGGAAUUACUGGGCGUAAAGCGCGCGUAGGUGGCUUGAUAAGCCGGUUGUGAAAGCCCCGGGCUCAACCUGGGAACGGCAUCCGGAACUGUCAAGCUAGAGUGCAGGAGAGGAAGGUGGAAUUCCCGGUGUAGCGGUGAAAUGCGUAGAGAUCGGGAGGAAUACCAGUGGCGAAGGCGGCCUUCUGGACUGACACUGACACUGAGGUGCGAAAGCGUGGGUAGCAAACAGGAUUAGAUACCCUUGUAGUC